GGACAUAUGGCCGAGUGGUCUAAGGCGCUAGCUUCAGGUUGUUCAACUAGAUUCGCUAGUCUUCGGGCGUGGGUUCGAAUCCCACUGUGUUCA
rnacentral:tRNA from 1 species